rnacentral:tRNA from 1 species
GGGCCGGUAGUGUAAUGGAGCACGUCGGAAUAUUUACCCGCGUCCCAGAAAUUUCGUCCGAAGGUGCAAGUUCAACGCUUGCCCGGUCCACCA